rnacentral:lncRNA from 1 species
UUUCUUUUCAUGGUUUGCCUUCUUAUUUCUGAAAGACUUAGUGAAGCCAUAGUCACAGUAAUAAUGGGUAUGCGGGUAGCAUUACACCUUCAACUUUUUCUCUUACCACAUUAUCCCAACUGGUUUAAAGCCCUGAAGAUAGUAGUCACUUUACUGGCCACUUUUUCAUUUAUAAUCACUUUAGUAGUUAAAAACAGUUUUCCAGAAAAAGGACAUAAGAGACCUGGUCAAGU